rnacentral:rRNA from 1 species
AUUGAACGCUGGCGGAAUGCUUUACACAUGCAAGUCGAGCGGCAGCGCGGGGCAACCUGGCGGCGAGCGGCGAACGGGUGAGUAAUACAUCGGAACGUGCCCAGACGUGGGGGAUAACUACUCGAAAGAGUGGCUAAUACCGCAUACGAUCUACGGAUGAAAGCGGGGGAUCGCAAGACCUCGCGCGUCUGGAGCGGCUGAUGGCAGAUUAGGUAGUUGGUGGGAUAAAAGCCUACCAAGCCAACGAUCUGUAGCUGGUCUGAGAGGAUGAUCAGCCACACUGGGACUGAGACACGGCCCAGACUCCUACGGGAGGCAGCAGUGGGGAAUUUUGGACAAUGGGCGAAAGCCUGAUCCAGCCAUUCCGCGUGCAGGAUGAAGGCCCUCGGGUUGUAAACUGCUUUUGUACAGAACGAAAAGACUCUGGCUAAUACCUGGAGUCCAUGACGGUACUGUAAGAAUAAGCACCGGCUAACUACG